AACAGCCAGAGCUACCUGUCUGAGUAGAAAUAUUUGAAGACUGCAAAACACAAAUUGUCAAGCUACUGGCUUCUUUGCCAUACCCACUGAUAUAAUUCUGUACCCACCAACAAGCUCUUAUUGGUGGUCUCUUCAUAACAACUACUACCCUGGCAGAAGGAAAUGGCCUAUAAAUAACUGAUGCAAUUGUGCCCUGGGAUUAUGAUGAGUCUGUAAUCCCCCUCCUCCCUCUCUCCCUCUCUCUCCCCCCCCUUUCUCUCUCCCUCUCCGUCCCUCCCGGCCCUCCCAUCAUGAUUAUCCUCACAGCCUGAGAACUAAAA
rnacentral:lncRNA from 1 species